GGAAACUGGUGUUCACCAACGUCUGGAUCAGCUGCCUUCUCCAGAGAAGGGCUCCCCCCCCCCCCGGCCCCCCCCCCCCCCCCCCCCUUGCAGCUGGGCAGGGCCACGUGGCUAGCUCUGGCCGCUGGGUAGGAGCAGAAGGGACCACGCCCACUUCUGGGCAAAGAGAGGUGAGGGGGUAUGACUUCUCCAAGCCCUGUCUGUCCCCCAGAUGUUCCCUGGGCUGGGCCUGGGUCAGCCUGGACCCCUGUGUGCAGAAGGCUUUCCCCCACCCAGCCCGCCCCCUAACUAGCGCUGGAGAGCCUUCAGUGGUCAGCCACGGAGAUGUCAGGGACAUCUUACUACUGUAGCAUUGCCUGGCCUUUUCUAAUACAUUAAAGGACGUAUGUGUGCUUUGGUGGCUUGGUGCAAAGGGGCCCUUUGCCCUGCAGAAGCGGUCAGAAAAUGAUCUCCUACGGAUAAGAUUGAACCUUUUGGUGCCUGUCCAUCUGCGUCUAUGCAAGAUCUGGGUCACGUCCCUCUCUUUCAUUUCCCCAGAUGUGUCUGUCGCUCUCACUAAGCAAAUCCUAACGUGUGGCGAACCAAAGGGCACAGCAGGUACCAUGGUGUAUGUGCACCCAAACCCCUUGAGAGCUGGAGAGAAGCCACCCCCCACCAAAGGCAGCUGUCCGGAUGACGCUUGUCCUCCCCCACCUCCACACCACCUCUGCAUGCUCCAGCUCCAGAGGGACACCUCUGUUCCCUCAACGGGCCAGGAUCUUUUCCAUUGUUGAGACUGCACAGCCGGCUCCCCUCUGUCUGUGCUGUGCUGCAGACUGAAUGCUUCUGGCCCGCCCAGACUCACAUGUUGAAAGCCCACCCCCAAGGCAAUGGCCUUAGAAGGUGGGGCCUUUGGGAGGUGAUUAGGUCAUUAAGGUGGAGCCUCCUGAAUGGGGAUGAGUGCCUUGCUUUUUUGUUUGUUUUAAUGUUCAUUAAAUAUUUAUUUUUGAGAGAAA